UCGUAAGUGCAGGGGUGCCCCGUACGGGGCUGAGAUAGGCAUGUGCCUGACCCUUCGAACCUGUUUGGCUAAGACCGACGUAGGGAGCGCAUUCAUGAGCGAU
rnacentral:ncRNA from 1 species